rnacentral:misc_RNA from 1 species
GAAAUGCGAUAAGUAGUGUGAAUUGCAGAAUUCAGUGAAUCAUCGAAUCUUUGAACGCACAUUGCGCCCCUUGGUAUUCCAUGGGGCAUGCCUGUUCGAGCGUCAUUUGUACCCUCAAGCUCUGCUUGGUGUUGGGUGUUUGUCCUCCCUGGAGGACUCGCCUCAAAACAAUUGGCAGCCGGCAUAUUGGUAUCGGAGCGCAGCACAAGUCGCGCUCUCUUUCCAGCCAAGGUCAGCAUCCACAAAGCCUUUUUUCAACUUUUGACCUCGGAUCAGGUAGGGAUACCCGCUGAACUUAA